rnacentral:rRNA from 1 species
GACGAACGCUGGCGGCGUGCUUAACACAUGCAAGUCGAACGGAAAGGCCCUGCUUUUGUGGGGUGCUCGAGUGGCGAACGGGUGAGUAACACGUGAGUAACCUGCCCUUGACUUUGGGAUAACUUCAGGAAGCUGGGGCUAAUACCGGAUAGGAGCUCCUGCUGCAUGGUGGGGGUUGGAAAGUUUCGGCGGUUGGGGAUGGACUCGCGGCUUAUCAGCUUGUUGGUGGGGUAGUGGCUUACCAAGGCUUUGACGGAUAGCCGGCAUGAGAGGGUGACCGGCCACAAUGGGACUGAGAGACGGCCCAGACUCCUACGGGAGGCAGCAGUGGAGAAUAUUGCACAAUGGGCGGAAGCCUGAGGCAGCGACGCCGCGUGCGGGAUGACGGCCUUCUGGUUGUAAACCGCUUUCGCCUGUGACGAAGCGUGAGUGACGGUAAUGGGUAAAGAAGCACCGGCUAACUACGUG